rnacentral:rRNA from 1 species
UGGGGAAUAUUGCACAAUGGGCGCAAGCCUGAUGCAGCCAUGCCGCGUGUAUGAAGAAGGCCUUCGGGUUGUAAAGUACUUUCAGUCGGGAGGAAGGUGGUAAGGUUAAUAACCUUAUCAAUUGACGUUACCGACAGAAGAAGCACCGGCUAACUCCGUGCCAGCAGCCGCGGUAAUACGGAGGGUGCAAGCGUUAAUCGGAAUUACUGGGCGUAAAGCGCACGCAGGCGGUUGAUUGAGUCAGAUGUGAAAUCCCCGGGCUUAACCCGGGAAUUGCAUCUGAUACUGGUCAGCUAGAGUCUUGUAGAGGGGGGUAGAAAUCCAUGUGUAGCGGUGAAAUGCGUAGAGAUGUGGAGGAAUACCGGUGGCGAAGGCGGCCCCCUGGACAAAGACUGACGCUCAGGUGCGAAAGCGUGGGGAGCAAACAGG